UUUUUUUUCUUCUUUUUUCUUUUUUAUUAACUUUUUUUUCAUCCUCUCUUUUCUUCUUUUUUAUUGAAAUUAAAUUUGGACAACGAGGUUGGUCAGCCUCUUAAGAUGGUUAGACUCGGGUGCGUUAUGUUCCUAAGGUUCAGGUGCACCACUACCAAGUGAUCAGGUUGCACCACCUAUGAGUAGGUUGCACCGAGUCUAAUUAGCCAAACCAGAUGGGUUCCAAUCAGAUCUAACUAAAUAGGGCUUAGGUGAG
rnacentral:lncRNA from 1 species